rnacentral:lncRNA from 1 species
UAAAAGGCACUUUCUAUAGAAGAUGUGCGCGUUAGUGUGUGUGUUGUUCCUCACCUUGUCCCAAUAUGUGUGACUCCCCCUCCUCCACUCCAGUUGUCUCUGCUGCGCUGUCCUUCAUGUAAAUCCACCUCCUUCAUAGCAACACACCACAUCUCAUUCCUCUAUGUAUGUGUGUUUGCGUGCGUUCUGUGCAGGUGUACCGGAGGCAGGCAUCAAGCAGACUGGCAGUGCUGGAGGAGGCGGCGGAGGGGAAGACAGCUUCUUACCAGAGGGAGAUCCUUCACCUGCAGAGGCUGCUAAAAGAAAGACAGGAGGCUGAAGAGAGACUACUGCAGUCCAAACGAGAAGUUGAAGAGGAAUUAGAGGUGGUGUGGCAGGCAGCUACCAGAGAGAACCAGCAAAUGAAGGACAUACUUGUAGACCCCAAGUUCAGCUUGGACCUCCAUAACUUGGUCUUCUCCUGAUGAAAACCAACACAUCUACCCAGCAUCCAUCAUACAGCUCUGGACCUCAGCUGUUCAUUUAUCAAGCUUUCUUCCAGAUGAAACCAGACAUAGAUCAUCACAGUAAGUCUUUGGAGGACAACAUAAGCAGGAGUUUGAUUCCGAUCGCUUAAACUUAACUUAGUUUUCUUGCAAGAUAAAAGCACAGAUAUUCCUCUACAUCAUAUUUAUCAAAUACUGUUAUAAUAUCUGACAUCUCUUUUCCUGGAGGCCUGUAUGAUAAGAGUUAAAGUCAAGUUAUAAACAUUGCUCACUUGUAUACACACACAAAUGUCUGUCAAAGAAAUGGGUUGCAGUAGAACAUGAAUGAUUAAACAGCGCAUCAAAUGAAUCAUGACUAAAUACACAAAAGCCAAAAAAAUCUCAGCCGUGUAUGUCUGAGAUCAAACUGGGUUGUCAGACAGUCAGUAGAGUUUUGUAAUUUUCUUUUUUUUUUUGCUUGUUUUUGAAUUUGUCUCAGGGCUUUAAAGACUUUUUUUCGGAGGAAGAGUUAACAUGCCAAGUGUAACAGAUUAUUAAGUAUAAUAUGCUAAAGAAAAUGUAGUUUUUCAUGGGGAAUUGUCUCUUAUAGAAUAUAGCCAAUGUUGCCAUCUGCUGGACCAUGAAGUGAUGAUUAUAUUAUCACAAGGCAGCACCAUUAACACUACUCACUAGACAUUUACAGUGAAAACCUCACUAUUAUCACAUCAAUCUAGCACUUUUGGACAAGAGGCAGUGUUUAUGGUGUUUAAAAGGGAUUUGCUUUUUCUAAACUAGUUUGCACAUUAAAGAAUUUAAGCUAAAAAAAAAAAAAGUGUUUAUAUAAAUCGAAACACACAAGCCAUGUGUAAUCUGGGGCUUCCUGCUGAUUUAGCUGAAUCAGUUCAUUGUGUUUACUUGUGAUUGAAUUUGCUUUAAAUGCACUAAUGUUGUGACAAUUUGGUACCGUCUAAAUAAUAAAGAAGAGAUUGUACUUGAGCUGACUGAAUUUGAUUUUUAAGUUCCGUGUUUUUGUUCUACCACAACACAGUGAUGCUAAACCCAUAAAGACCCAAACAGCCACCAGUGACCAAAACCAUCGACCAAUCUUAAAUGUUUAAUACCUGUUGAUCCACUAACCCUAUCAAUAAAUGUAAAUAAUUGGUGUAAAAUGCUGCAGUUUGUCAUCUUUUUCAUGGUCAUCAGAUAUGACCCAUUUCAACAUUCAGAGGCUCCGUACUGAACGUGGAAACACCGUCAUCUACAACAACAUUGAUUCACCAGUAAAACCCA